UCUUCUUCUCAUUUUGUUUUUCCUUUGGUUUUUUAUAGAAAAAUCAUGAUGUACGGAGAUUUAACUGUACAAACUCAAAUCCGAUUUUUAAAAAUGUGAUCUACGAAAUCUGAUCUAUGUUUUUACCUAUCGUUUUGAGGUGUUUGACUAUUUGGAACUUGCUAGAGGCUACCCAAACCAUGGGUUUUGGUUUUGUGAAUUUUUGCAACCGUGCAGACAUUGAUGCUUUGGUUGCAGGUUCUGCGGAUAUAGAUAUUGACUCGUCCACCUAGCAUAUGGGAUGCUAUGAUUAGAGCACAUCGCGACAGUCGUAAGUCACGGACUCAUGGAUAGUUCGCAUUUUGAGUAUUUUAUUUAUGGCUCGUGUCCUACAUGGCAUAUGUAUAUGUUGAACUUGUAUUUUAUUAUGUAAUUAGUGUAAUAUGUUUUAUUAUGUAGUUAGACAUGUAAAUGGUUCCUAUUAUUGAUAACAGUUAUACAUUA